GGUAGUAGCAAAUAUUCAAAUGAGAACUUUGAAGGCCGAAGAGGGAAAGGUUCCAUGUGAACGGCACUUGCACAUGGGUUAGUCGAUCCUAAGUACCUCCUAUCUGAUGGGUUUCUUAGUAACGGACACCUUCUGCAAAAGGUUAAAUUAAAAAAGACGUCACGGGGAAUUUUAACCCGAUUCCCUUUACGCGCUGUCUGUCGGCGCCUUAGGAUCGACUAACCCAUGUGCAAGUGCCGUUCACAUGGAACCUUUCCCCUCUUCGGCC
rnacentral:ncRNA from 1 species